UACAGAGACUGCAAGCGUUAUUCGGAUUCACUGGGCGUAAAGGGUGCGCAGGCGGCCAAGUGUGUGAGGCGUGAAAGCCCGGGGCUUAACCCCGGAAUUGCGCCUCAAACUACAUGGCUAGAGCAUUGGAGAGGGUAGCAGAAUUCAUGGUGUAGCAGUGAAAUGCGUAGAUAUCAUGAGGAAUACCAGAGGCGAAGGCGGCGUCCUGGCUCACAACUGACGCUCAUACACGACAGCAUGGGGAGCGAACGGG
rnacentral:rRNA from 1 species